rnacentral:rRNA from 1 species
UUGUGGAUAGCGGAGAAAUUCCAAUCGAACUCGGAGAUAGCUGGUUCUCCCCGAAAUAGCUUUAGGGCUAGCGUUAUGUUAGAUUACCGGAGGUAAAGCACUGAAUGGUGGCGGGGCCGAUAAGGUUACCAAGACCUAUCAAACUCUGAAUGCCGGAUAAUUGAUGCAUAGCAGUCAGACAGCGUGAGAUAAGUUUCGUUGUCAAAAGGGAAACAGCCCAGACCCACAGCUAAGGUCCCAAAUUCAUGCUAAGUGGAAAACGAUGUGGAAUUGCGAAAACAACCAGGAUGUUGGCUUAGAAGCAGCCACUCAUUAAAAGAGUGCGUAAUAGCUCACUGGUCGAGUGACUCUGCGCGGAAAAUAUAACGGGGCUAAGCAUGAAACCGAAGCUUGGGCUUGUACUUAGGUACAGGGGUAGGGGAGCGUCGAGUAUGGGGUGAAGUCAGAGCGGAAGCACUGGUGGACUGUACUGGAGUGAGAAUGCCGGAAUGAGUAGCGAGAAUUAUGUGGGAAUCAUAAUGGCCGAAAAUCUAAGGUUUCUUGGGGAAGGUUCGUCCGCCCAAGGUAAGUCGGGAGCUAAGCUCAGGCCGAGAGGCGUAGGCGAUGCACAUACGGUAGAAAUUCCGUAACCACCGAAACUUAAACAGAGGGACACUUCGAAAUAGCGGAACCCGGGCGUUGGUUGACCCGGGCGUAAGGGAGCGAAAUUAGAGUAGCGAAGUCCGCGAUGUUCGGAGGCGAGAAAAGCUCUGAGGUAUGCUAAGGUGCCCGUACCGCAAACCGACACAGGUAGAUGAGGAGAGAAUCCUAAGGCCAACGGGAGAAGGGUUGUUAAGGAACUCGGCAAAUUGACCCCGUAACUUCGGAAGAAGGGGAGCCCCCUACGGGGGGUCGCAGAGAAAUGGCCCAAGCAACUGUUUACCAAAAACACAGGUCUAUGCUAAAUCGAAAGAUGACGUAUAUGGGCUGACGCCUGCCCGGUGCCGGAAGGUUAAGAGGAGAUGUCAGGCAACGAAGCAUUGAAUUUAAGCCCCGGUAAACGGCGGCCGUAACUAUAACGGUCCUAAGGUAGCGAAAUUCCUUGUCAGGUAAGUUCUGACCCGCACGAAUGGCGUAAUGAUUUGGGCACUGUCUCAACAGCCCGCCCGGCGAAAUUGUAGUACUGGUGAAGAUGCCAGUUACCCGCAACUAGACGGAAAGACCCCAUGGAGCUUUACUGCAGUUUAAUACUGGGAAUCGGUAAUGCAUGUACAGGAUAGGUGGGAGACUUGGAAGCAUAGUCGUCAGGCUAUGUGGAGUCACCGGUGGGAUACCACUCUUGUAUUGCUGGUUUCCUAACCUGCGGCCGUGAAUCCGGUCGGGGGACACUGUUAGACGGGCAGUUUGACUGGGGCGGUCGCCUCCAAAAGAGUAACGGAGGCGCUCAAAGGUUCGUUCAGCACGGACGGAAAUCGUGCAUUGAGUGUAAACGCAUAAACGAGCCUAACUGCGAGACCGACGGGUCGAGCAGUAACGAAAGUUGGAGUUAGUGAUCCGGUGGUAUGUGAGUGGAAAUGCCAUCGCUCAACGGAUAAAAGCUACCCUGGGGAUAACAGGCUGAUCUCCCCCAAGCGUCCACAGCGACGGGGAGGUUUGGCACCUCGAUGUCGGCUCGUCGCAUCCUGGGGCUGAAUUCGGUCCCAAGGGUUUGGCUGUUCGCCAAUUAAAGCGGCACGCGAGCUGGGUUCAGAACGUCGUGAGACAGUUCGGUCCCUAUCUGUUGCGGGCGUAAGAGAUUUGAAGGGAGCUGUCCUUAGUACGAGAGGACCGGGAUGGACGUACCUCUGGUGCACCAGUUGUCCUGCCAAGGGCAUAGCUGGGUAGCUAUGUACGGACGAGAUAAACGCUGAAAGCAUCUAAGCGUGAAACUCCCCCUAAGAUGAGAUCUCUCAUCCUUCAAGGAGUAAGGACCCAGAAAGACGAUCUGGUUGAUAGGCCGAAGGUGGAAGCGCAGUAAUGUGUGCAGCUGAUCGGUACUAAUAGUCCGAGGGCUUGACCUA